GAUGAACGCUGGCGGCGUGCCUAAUACAUGCAAGUCGAGCGAACAGACGAGGAGCUUGCUCCUUCGACGUUAGCGGCGGACGGAUGAGUAACACGUAGGUAACCUACCUAUAAGACUGGGAUAACUUCGGGAAACCGGAGCUAAUACCGGAUAAUAUUUCGAACCGCAUGGUUCGAUAGUGAAAGAUGGCUUUGCUAUCACUUAUAGAUGGACCUGCGCCGUAUUAGCUAGUUGGUAAGGUAACGGCUUACCAAGGCAACGAUACGUAGCCGACCUGAGAGGGUGAUCGGCCACACUGGAACUGAGACACGGUCCAGACUCCUACGGGAGGCAGCAGUAGGGAAUCUUCCGCAAUGGGCGAAAGCCUGACGGAGCAACGCCGCGUGAGUGAUGAAGGUCUUCGGAUCGUAAAACUCUGUUAUUAGGGAAGAACAAACGUGUAAGUAACUGUGCACGUCUUGAUGGUACCUAAUCAGAAAGCCACGGCUAACUACGUG
rnacentral:rRNA from 1 species